AUUAGCUUUGAAGCCCAUUUCAAUGGCUCUGUAAAUGUGACGCACGCGCUUAUCACAAAGGUCAAGUUUGGAAACCUAACAGGAAAUGUAGUCUCAGUUUAGAAACCGCGUCCAUGUAGUUUUCUGAGAAGCUGAGAGCUAAUGGACACGUAAAAGUCUCAUUGUUGAACACUAAAAGUGUGGUCCUUGUUGCGGACGAUUGGUCAUGUCCUGAUCUCGUGACCUCUCAGCAGGUGAUGAGAAUGAUACCGAGGGCAGGGCCAUGGAGGAGCCUUACCCUUGUGAUGACCCAUUAAACACCACAUGGCAUUGGACGGACGAAUGACGCUGCUCCUGCUGCAAUGCACCACGGUACUGCUGUGCGCAGGUGUGUGGGUGCUUCCUGCUCCGUUCAAUCUGACUGUGUCCAGUUACGACUUCAAACACACGGCCCAUUGGACGGCAGCUCCCGGCUCCCCCCAAACCUCACCUAUCAUGUUUAUGCCAAAAUCAAUGAAACGUGGAAAAAGGUGGCUACCAGCAGGACGCUCUGGGCUGAAGUCAGACUGAGGGAAACCGAGUACACUUACACUCUGCAUGUGCGGAGCAGGUGGAACAAGACCCUCUCUCCACCGUCCCAGAAAGUCACUUUCACACCCGACAUGGACAGCCACAGCAAGAAAUGUUAGAUACACGUUUUCUGUCCUCGGUUAAGCACCAAGUCUCUGUAUGGAAUAAGAAAGCAUCAUUUCACUGUGAGAGACAUUUAACACUAG
rnacentral:lncRNA from 1 species